GACAGAGGCCACGAGCGUUAGGCGGAAUCACUGGGCUUAAAGCGUGUGUAGGCGGGUCCGUAAGUGUCUUGUGAAAUCCCACGGCUCAACCGUGGAACUGCUGGGCAUACUGCGGACCUUGAGCCGGCCAGGGGUCACCGGAACAAGCGGUGGAGCGGUGAAAUGCGUAGAUAUCGCUUGGAACGCCAACGGUGAAAACAGGUGACUGGGGCCGCGCUGACGCUGAGACACGAAAGCCAGGGGAGCGAACGGG
rnacentral:rRNA from 1 species